rnacentral:rRNA from 1 species
UACGUAGGAGGCAAGCGUUGUCCGGAAUUACUGGGCGUAAUGCGCGUGUAGGUGGUGGGACAAGUCUGCUGUGAAAGCGCCUGGCUUAACCGGGCGAGGUCGGCGGAAACUGUCCGACUCGAGGACGGUAGAGGGGGGUGGAAUUCCCGGUGUAGUGGUGAAAUGCGUAGAGAUCGGGAGGAACACCUGUGGCGAAGGCGGCCCCCUGGGCCGGCCCUGACACUGAGACGCGAAGGCGUGGGGAGCGAACGGG